rnacentral:rRNA from 1 species
GCGCAAAUACUAUAUUAUCUCACUUUUCGGUGGAUGAUAUAGUAGUGUUUAUUAGAUACAGAACCAAUACACCUGUAACAAGGUGUAGAAAAAGGUGAUUCAUAGUAACCGAACGGAUCGCAUAUAUUAUAAUCAUUUCGGUGAUUAUUGGCGAUAGAUCAUUCAAGUUUCUGACCUAUCAGCUUUCGACGGUAGUGUAUUGGACUACCGUGGCAGUGACGGGUAACGGGGAAUUAGGGUUCGAUUCCGGAGAGGGAGCCUGAGAAACGGCUACCACAUCUAAGGAAGGCAGCAGGCGCGCAAAUUACCCAAUCCUGACUCAGGGAGGUAGUGACAAGAAAUAACAACACUGGAAAUUCAAUUUCUAGUGAUUGGAAUGAUGGGAAUCCAAACCCCUUUCAGAGUAACAAUUGGAGGGCAAGUCUGGUGCCAGCAGCCGCGGUAAUUCCAGCUCCAAUAGCGUAUAUUAAAGUUGUUGCAGUUAAAAAGCUCGUAGUUGGAUAUCUGCUGGAAGCAAUCAGUC